UUCUAGCGACGCUCCGGCACUGAGUCCUACAGGCUUCAUAGAGAUGGGCAAGAUCAAAGACAUAGUAAUUAAUGAGCUGUUCACAUGUCAUCUACUACCUGUGCAUCCUGCUGAAAGACCUCGCAGAUCCUGAUGCCGUUUCUUGCGUGGUCCCGCUGUUUCAGAGCUCAAAGCCAAGACUGGGCUGCCUUGUCAAAGUGUACAAGAGCUGCCGGGAGAUUCUAGCAAAGUGCUGAUGGUGAUGACGUUAAAGGAAGUGCAUGCCAUUCCGGUGAUGGUGAUGACGUUAAAGGAAGUGCAUACCAUUCCGGAUCCAUAAAAUAUGUUCCUUAUUUGUUUUGCUUUUUCUGUCUCCACAUUGUUAGCUAGCUAGUAACGUUAACUCACUGCUAUCUGAAGACGUUACAGCUAGCCCACAGUAGUUUGGAAAUGGCUAGAUAUCGCUCCAGACGUAAUUGUUAUCCAACAAGCGAGAUCUUAUGCAGAACGGUAAUCAGCAAUUCAAUAUGGAAGAUGAAACAUACCCCCGACAUCGACGGCAAGGCCAUCUCUCUGGAGUGUCAAAGUCACUCGGGAUUAUAACCCACCUAUUAUUAUUCUUUCAGAGCUCAAAGCCAAGACUAAACUGCCUUGUCAAAGUGUACAAGAGCUGCCGGGAGAUUCUAGCAAAGUGGUGAUGACGUUAAAGGAAGUGCAUGCCAUUCCGGUGAUGGCGACGAAGUCGUCCUGGUAAUUUGGUAAAGCAGUGUCACUGACUUCACUUUAUACCACUGGUUAAAACCACUGACAUGCAACAUGUUUAUACUAUCUAUUUGGUUAAGUUAUCAGUUCUCAAUGUAAAGAAACUGAUGAUGAUGAUACGCCUGAUAUCAUCAUCAGCUGAUUGUUUUUUAUCCUCAUUUCUCUCUUUAAAUAUUUUGAGGUACUUUUCCACACGCCAGGUUUUCAGUAAUCGAAGAAACCUUGAGGUCGGUCAUCCAACUAAAAUACGAGUAUCGCUAGAGAAUUAGUUUAUGAAUGUAGGUCCUUACUUAAGAGUUACCUGGUGUUAUUAUUUACUCAGAUGCCUUAGUACAACCUGUCUCAUUUUUAAAAAUAAUCCAUCUACCUGAACAAAGUGUUUCCUGUAACCAUGUCCUUACUUAAUAAUUUUAAAGAUUUCUUAUUGAAACAAUCUAUUUAGAAAUAGUUUUUAAUUUAUGCUUUUUUWAAAUUAUUGUAAUAAUUAUAUUUGAAGAGUUAAUAGUGUUUAUUAUCAUGUAAUAAAUUGAUACCAUCACUAGCUGCUAUUCUUUCCAUCGCCAUUAGAGGACAGGACCUACCACCUUUGACUCACUGUAUAUAGACUUUUUUUUUAAAUCUUUUUUUUCCUACUGUAU